rnacentral:miRNA from 1 species
UUUGGUCCCCUCCAACCAGCCA